UACGUAGGGGGCAAGCGUUGUCCGGAAUCAUUGGGCGUAAAGCGCGUGUAGGCGGCCCGUUAAGUCCGCUGUGAAAGUCGGGGGCUCAACCCUCGAAUGCCGGUGGAUACUAUCCGGCUAGAGGAAUGGAGGGGAGACUGGAAUACUUGGUGUAGCAGUGAAAUGCGUAGAUAUCAAGUGGAACACCAGUGGCGAAGGCGAGUCUCUGGACAUUUCCUGACGCUGAGGCACGAAAGCCAGGGGAGCAAACGGG
rnacentral:rRNA from 1 species